rnacentral:rRNA from 1 species
GUGGCGCACGGGUGAGUAACGCGUGGGAACCUACCUUUUAGUUCGGGAUAACAGUUGGAAACGACUGCUAAUACCGUAUACGCCCUCCGGGGGAAAGGUCAGCCGCUGAAAGAGGGGCCCGCGUCUGAUUAGCUUGUUGGUAGGGUAAAAGCCUACCAAGGCUACGAUCAGUAGCUGGUCUGAGAGGAUGAUCAGCCACACUGGGACUGAGACACGGCCCAGACUCCUACGGGAGGCAGCAGUCGGGAAUAUUGGACAAUGGAGGAAACUCUGAUCCAGCAAUGCCGCGUGUGUGAUGAAGGCCUUAGGGUUGUAAAGCACUUUCAACGGUGAAGAUGAUGACGGUAGCCGUAGAAGAAGCCCCGGCUAACUUCGUGCCAGCAGCCGCGGUAAUACGAAGGGGGCGAGCGUUGUUCGGAAUUAUUGGGCGUAAAGGGCGCGCAGGCGGUUUGGAUAGUUAGACGUGAAAGCCCUGGGCUUAACCUAGGAACUGCGUUUAAUACUGCCAAACUAGAGAACUAGAGAGGAUAGCGGAACUCCCAGUGUAGAGGUGAAAUUCGUAGAUAUUGGGAAGAACAUCAGUGGCGAAAGCGGCUGUCUGGCUAGUUUCUGACGCUGAGGCGCGAAAGCGUGGGGAGCAAACAGGAUUA